CGAGCUCAGCCGAGCGGGCUGCGGUGGCGUCGUUCUCUCGGGGCGGGUGGAGGUGGUGAUCCCUCGGCCACAGGAGCGGGUUGCGGAGAUGUGAAACCAUCAGGAUGAGGAUUCUCAAUUCCAUCCAGAUCUCCAAAAAAAUAUAAGAGCUACAGCUGCACUUUAAGAAUUCUGCCGGCUUUCUGGACUACAAAUUAAAUACACGCAUAGAGCUCCAACAUGCUCCUUUUGCUCAGUUCACCAAAAUGCUCUGUUUUUCCAAGUCUGGAACUCUUCAGUUCUCCAUGUUCCACCAGCAAGGGCAGGUGUGCAAGGAGUGUAAACCAGAAGAUAAGGAGGCUCCAACCUUCGGGGAAAACUCUGGAAAUUGCAAGUCAACAAGAUAAGAGCCUGCCUGCCUGGACACAGAAGAAGAAUCCAAUUAGAUGUUAGAAGACCACAGACCAAAAAUCACCGUUGGACUAAAGGACGUGUGGACAGCGCGUGAAGUGCACGCAAGGGGUGGAUGUAUGGGACCCAAGGGUAUAAUUGCUCUGGGAUUUCUUUGUUCUGGGUCCCUCUCCUUGGAGGCACUCAGCCUGGGCUGAUCCUGCUGCUGCACCUUUCAAUUAAAUUAUUUUCUAAAAUCUGAUGCCUGAGACUCCGCUGCAGGAAACCUAGGGUCGAGCCUGAAGGAGGAAGCAUGUACAAGAACGAGUGUGUGUGGGUGUGUGCAACACCAUGAAUGGUGUGUGAAUGCUCAGGCAGCAGCUACUCCUUUAACAUCUAUAAUGAUCAAAGCUUCAUUCCAUAAAUUUCAGGGCUACUGUAAUCCAAUACAUCACAGCAAUUCAGUCUGAAUCCACUGAACCUGAGGUGCUCAGAUUGCUGGCCCACAUGCUGCCUGCCAGGGUACUUGACUCAGCCCAUAACCCCGCUGUCUUUUUCAAAAGAUCUGCAGUUAUCCCCUCCCCAAUCAAAUAUUUUUUUUCUAUCCACAUAUGGCAUGUGAUACAGCUGGGGCUGCAGAACCUUACAAAAGGUAAGAUAGAGAUGACCACAUAACAUUAUCUGCCAUUGAGGAACCUGGAGAGAGACAGACAGCUGUAUGAGAUGAGAUUCUGUGUGUUUGGGAGUGGAAUGCCAAGCAUGCAAAAGGAAGCAAUUGCUGUUCCUUGAAUAGAGGCUUAAUGCACUCACUACAAGAAAAAACAAGAAUAGGACUUCAGAAAUUCAGAAAGCUCAGCAUUUUACUGCAUGGAAAUAAAUACAUAGAUAAACAAAUCAUUAGCAGUGCCUGAAACAGCACCAGCUAAGGGCAAAUUUCAAUGUUUUCAUCUCUUAAAUGCCCCUCAACCCUGUUACUCUCC